CCUACGGGAGGCUGCAGUGAGGAAUAUUGCGCAAUGGGCGCGAGCCUGAAGCAGCCAAGUAGCGUGAGGGAUGACUGCCCUAGGGGUUGUAAGCUUCUUUUGUGGAGGAAUAAAGUGAGGCACGUGUACCUUUUUGUAUGUGUUUUAUAAGUAAGGAUAGGCUAAGUCCGUGCCAGCAGCCGCGGGAGUACGGAAGGUACGGGCGUUAUACGGAUUGAUGGGGGUUAAAGGGAGCGUAGGCCGCAUGUCAAGCGUGAUGUGAAAUGUCCGGGCUCAACCCGGGCCUUGCAGGGCGAACGGGCGUGCUUGAGUGCGCGGAAAGCAGGCGGAAUUCGUGGUGUAGCGGUGAAAUGCUUAGAUAUGACGAAGAACCCCGAUGGCGAAGGCAGCUUGCUGCAGCGGAACUGACGCUGAUGCUCGAAAGCGCGGGUAUCGAACAGGAUUAGAUACCCCAGUAGUC
rnacentral:rRNA from 1 species